rnacentral:rRNA from 1 species
UACAGAGGCCCCAAGCGUUACUGAGAAUCACUGGGUUUAAAGGGUGCGUAGGUGGCGCGUUAAGUCCGUUGUGAAAGCCCUGGGCUCAACCCAGGAACUGCUUCGGAUACUGGCGCGCUUGAGGCUAGUAGGGGUCACUGGAACUGACGGUGGAGCGGUGAAAUGCGUAGAUAUCGUCAGGAACGCCAAUGGUGAAGACGAGGUGACUGGGCUAGGUUCUGACACUGAGGCACGAAAGCGUGGG